UACGGAGGUGCAAGCGUUGUCCGGAAUCACUGGCGUAAGGCGCGUAGGCGGUGCGUAAGUCACCUGUGAAUCUCCUGGCUCAACUGAGCUGCAGCGAACUGCGUGCUGAGUGUGAGAGUGCGUGAUCUGUGUAGCGUGAUGCGUAGAUAUCAGAGACACUGUCGCGAAGCGCGCACUGACACACGUGACGCUGAGCGCGAGCUAGAGCACAG
rnacentral:rRNA from 1 species